UUCUUCUUCAGCUUUCUUAACAGCACUUUGAAGAUAUUCAUGAGCUUUUCUGUAUAAUCCAAUCGAAACCUGAAGAACAAAAAAAAGGAAUCGCUUCUUUUUGCUACCACAGCUAAUCCAGUGGUUUCCCACAAAGGCACAGCUGCUGACAACAGAUGCCUUUUGGGUGAUGGACUUUGUACCAAUCUUUUCACUAAAGAUCCCACGUAGAACAUCAUAAUCUCCCAGUGAUCGGUACAAUCUGCAGAAAGAUCAAAGUCAAGCACUCAGCUUCUGGAAUGAACAUUCGCCAAGUUAAAAAAAAAUCUUUACAUUAUCCUUGGUGUUCGGUGGGCAGUAGCACCAUAACAAGGUGCUAACAACAAGGUGACCAUUACUUCAAAGUUAGACUGAAAAGUUCGAUUCACACGAAAGUAUUUGGUCAGAUAGUCACAGAAGGAACUGCAGCAAAAAUCAAUUUCUUUGGAUGAAGGAGGAAGAAAAGUAACAUUAGCAACAGGAUGCAGCUAAAGUAUGAACGAGACUGGCCACUGACUAUCCAAGGAUAUUCUAUUUUAGGAGGGAACCAUCAAAAGGAGGAGGAGAGCGAGAAGAACGUUCUGCAUCAAUGAGCAUCAUCCUAGCCAAAGAAACACUGGCCUCUCUGCUAGACAAACCAAAGACACAAACACCUGGUAGCACCAGCGCCAUCAACAAGUACAGUAUCCUCAAACUAAUAGACCUGUGCCUCACAACCCACUUCACCUUCAACGACAAGACCUACAAACAAAUCAAUGGGACACCCAUGGGAUCACCAAUAUCAGGAUACUUGGCAGAAGCAGUUAAUCAGAGGUUAGAACGAACAGCCCUUGCCAUGAUCCAGCCCAAGUUUUGGGUCCGCUAUGUGGAUGACACCUUUGUCAUCACAAAAUGCAACAGAUUACAGGAAACCCACAAAC